rnacentral:rRNA from 1 species
GAUGAACGCUGGCGGCGUGCCUAAUACAUGCAAGUCGAGCGAACGGACGAGAAGCUUGCUUCUCUGAUGUUAGCGGCGGACGGGUGAGUAACACGUGGAUAACCUACCUAUAAGACUGGGAUAACUUCGGGAAACCGUAGCUAAUACCGGAUAAUAUUUUGAACCGCAUGGUUCAAAAGUGAAAGACGGUCUUGCUGUCACUUAUAGAUGGAUCCGCGCUGCAUUAGCUAGUUGGUAAGGUAACGGCUUACCAAGGCAACGAUGCAUAGCCGACCUGAGAGGGUGAUCGGCCACACUGGAACUGAGACACGGUCCAGACUACUACGGGAGGCAGCAGUAGGGAAUCUUCCGCAAUGGGCGAAAGCCUGACGGAGCAACGCCGCGUGAGUGAUGAAGGUCUUCGGAUCGUAAAACUCUGUUAUUAGGGAAGAACAUAUGUGUAAGUAACUGUGCACAUCUUGACGGUACCUAAUCAGAAAGCCACGGCUAACUACGUG